rnacentral:rRNA from 1 species
UACGUAGGGUGCAAGUAUUAUCCGGAGUGACUGGGCGUAAAGAGUUGCGUAGGUGGUUAGUAAAGCGAAUAGUGAAAUUUGACGGCUCAACCGUACAAACUAUUAUUCGAACUCACUAACUCGAGAAUGGUAGAGAUAACUGGAAUUUCUAGUGUAGGAGUGAAAUCCGUAGAUAUUAGAAGGAACACCAAUGGCGUAGGCAGGUUACUGGACCAUUUCUGACACUGAGGCACGAAAGCGUGGGGAGCGAACCGGAUUAGAAACCCGAGUAGU